CCUGAGAAACGGCUACCACAUCCAAGGAAGGCAGCAGGCGCGCAAAUUACCCACUCCCAGCACGGGGAGGUAGUGACGAAAAAUAACGAUACGGGACUCAUCCGAGGCCCCGUAAUCGGAAUGAGCACACUUUAAAUACUUUAACAAGUAUCCAUUGGAGGGCAAGUCUGGUGCCAGCAGCCGCGGUAAUUCCAGCUCCAAUAGCGUAUAUUAAAGUUGUUGCGGUUAAAAAGCUCGUAGUUGAAGUUGUGAAUCGCACUGUUGGUGCACCAAUUUUGGUGUUUACUUACAUGUUGCAAUUCGUCCAGUCAGUGGGAUAUGGUAUGUAAUAGUUUGCUUUCGUUCUUUUCUAAAGGCGGAAUGCAGCUAUUGUCAGCCUUUCUCUUUUCACCCAUUACGGUGCUCUUUACUGAGUGUCGUAGAGGGCUGACACGUUUACUUUGAACAAAUUAGAGUGCUYAAAGCAGGCAUUAUGCCUGAAUAUUGUGUGCAUGGAAUAAUAGAAUAAGACCUCGGUUCUAUUUUGUUGGUUUUCUGAACCAGAGGUAAUGAUUGAYAGGAACGGACGGCGGAAUUCGAAUUGAGACGUUAGAGGUGAAAUUCUUGGACCGUCGCAAGACGGACAGAAGCGAAAGCAUUUGCCAAGAACGUUUUCAUUAAUCAAGAACGAAAGUUAGAGGUUCGAAGGCGAUCAGAUACCGCCCUAGUUCUAACCAUAAACGAUGCCAGCCAGCGAUCCGCUGAAGUUCCUCCGAUGACUCGGCGGGCAGCUUCCGGGAAACCAAAGCUUUUGGGUUCCGGGGGAAGUAUGGUUGCAAAGCUGAAACUUAAAGGAAUUGACGGAAGGGCACCACCAGGAGUGGAGCCUGCGGCUUAAUUUGACUCAACACGGGAAACCUCACCAGGCCCGGACACUGGAAGGAUUGACAGAUUGAGAGCUCUUUCUUGAUUCUGUGGGUGGUGGUGCAUGGCCGUUCUUAGUUGGUGGAGCGAUUUGUCUGGUUAAUUUCCGAUAACGAACGAGACUC
rnacentral:rRNA from 1 species